AAGGGUUUCUCGAGAACGGCACUCGCUCGAGAGUUAGUCGAUCCUAAGCUGCCGGCGGCAGCCACGAAACGGUCGAUCGGGCGCGAGCCCGGCAGCCACGACCGGGCAGCGAAAGGGGAAUUGGGGAACCUCCUUCCCAAACCCGGAACCGGAACGAGGGCGGCGACGCGAACGAAACGGCCGCGGAGACGGCGGCCGCGGCCCCGGAGAGAGUUCUCUUUUCUGUGCGACUGGACGUCGGCCCCGGAAUCGCGUCGAGCGGAGGGGGGUCGGAGUUCAGGAAUAGCACCCCGGCCUUUCGGGGUGUCCGGGCGGCCGCGGUCGUCCCAUGAAAAUCCGCGGAUGAACGAGUAGGCGACGGUCCGGGUCGUACCGAACGACCGCAUCGGGUCUCCAAGGUUGAAGCCUCUGGCUAACGGGAC
rnacentral:rRNA from 1 species